rnacentral:rRNA from 1 species
GGUAAUUCCAGCUCUGAUAGCGUAUAUUAAAGUUGUUGCAGUUAAAAGCUCGUAGUUGGAUUUUAGAGUGUAUUGAUACGGUCUCUUGUGAUAAACUUGUUGUACUGUAUCAAUUACUCUUUCCUACUGGUUACUCGACUCUGUUCUUUAUUGCAUGGAGUAGUGUCGCAAGGCAUCGCGUUAGUAGUUUAUUGCUUUUAGAUGUAGUAAUUGGGUAAAACUGGUUAUGAAACCUAAGGGAUCACAGUAAAGUAUUAAGUGGGGUUCCAGUUCAUUUACUUUGAGUAAAUUAGAGUGUUCAAAGCAGCCUGUAUGGGCAUUGAAUAGAUUAGCAUGGGAUAAUAGAAUAGGAUUCUUAUCUAUUUAUUGGUUUAUAGAUUUUAGAAUAAUGAUUAAUAGGAUAGUUGGGGCGACUUGUAUUCAAUAGUCAGAGGUGAAAUUCUAGGAUUAUUGAAGACAAAACUUCAGCGAAAGCAUUUGCCAAGGAUGUUUUCAUUAAUCAAGAACGAAAGUUAGGGGAUCGAAGACGAUUAG